GGCCUGGAACGCGUCCUGAAGCACGAGAACCUUUUUUAGAUUUCAGAUGAUUUUGAACAGAUGUGAGUCUGAAGGUGAUCACCGACAAACUGUCCGGGGUCAAAAGGUCACCAGGAGUGUGCGUGUGAGUUGUCUGUGUGUAUUUAUUUAUAAAUAAGUAGCUGCUGUCGUGUACCGUGUCGACCGACCACUCAGGAUGUGAGCCCCGUGAAAGUGAAGGACGAUUCACCUGAAAAAACACCAGUCUUGACUUGGCUAAUGGUUUUGGUUGUCGCGUACACGUACACACAUUUGCCGACGAUGUUCUACUAAACAAACUAAAACGUUUUACAAAGUACAGUCAGAAAAAACCAAAUCCCAAAAAUAAAUGUUUGAAUUUCCUUCCUGCUCGUGGAACGUUUCAGUAUUCUCUCCUCAUGUCCACAGACGACGCCCUGCACUUCACUGUUCGACCACUAGGAAAACCUGAAACAAAUGUGUCUGUGUUCACCCCAUGGUACUGUACUGCGACAGUACUGCAGAGGUAUUUCUUUUAUACUUCACUGGUGUUUUUUUUUUUUUUUUUUUAAACUAUCGUCUUGAGUUUUGUACCAGGUGUUUCCUGGUGACGGCGACCACUGGUCCACGUUGUCAAAGUUUGAGCUGGACUUGAAAACAUCCUGUUUGUGUUCAUUGUAUGAAAAAGUGUAUAUUUAUUACAAAGUGAUGUUUGUUGCUGAACCAAAGCUGCUCCGACUCUCGUUUCUGUUUAUUUACAGUCAAAAUAUUCUUUAAAACAAAGACACAGAAGGAGGCGUGGGUUCAACUCCUGCAUUCAUUCUGAGCUCAUCAACUGACGACUGGACAACAUUUCACUUUCAUUUUGACUCAGUUCCAGUUCUCAUCAGUUCCUUCCAGGAACUCAAUGGUUCUGUUUGGGAAAAGUCCCUGGAUUUCUGCUGAACUUCACCUCCUCUCUCCUGCCUCCCACUUUAUUUUUUUUUUGUUUCGUAAAUUCUUUUUUCCCCACAAAGUGUUGUUCAAUGUGGGUCAAAAGUCCACACACACACACACACACACACACACACACACACACAGAGCGAAGCUGAUGCAACUCAGUCAGAGGUAAUGGCAUAAAGUGACUCAACAUGUGGUCAGUGUCACAAGCUGUGACUUGCAACUUCCUCUGCUGCAGGUCAAAGGUCACAGAUGUACUGUCAAACCAACAGUAAAUUAGCAUUAGCAUCUUUAGCUGUCCUUCGUUGUGUAAACUGUAAAUGUCGUAUUUCAUCAUGUUUCCUGUUUUACUUUGAAAGAACAACAUCACUUCCUGUCUGACCAUCGUCAUGGUGACGAGUUCCACCUGUGACCUGGUCGGCCUGACCUCUGACCUCUGUGAGCGGCAGGACGAGGAGUUCCAGCUGGACGGGGCAGUUGUUGGUCCACUGCUGCCCCAACAUGGAACACCAGUGGAAAAGUCACAGCAGGUCCACCGGGUCGUGACCUCAUGUGUCACAUGGUCUGAAGCUGAAGCCGAAGGCAGCAGAGGAAACGUUGACUCCUCAUCAAAUAACCAAGAGAACCAGCUGAUCGUGAGUCACACCUUUGUUUUAUUCCUUUGGAAACAUCAGUGAAAAUAUUUCUUACAUUUCUGAAAAGUCAGAAAACAAAACCAAAAACGGAGAAUGAUCGGCCACUAGAGGGCAGUGUUCAGUUCAGUUAGAAGCAGGGAUCUGACUCUGUGAAUCCAUUGCUGG